rnacentral:rRNA from 1 species
CCUACGGGUGGCAGCAGUGAGGAAUAUUGGUCAAUGGGCGAGAGCCUGAACCAGCCAAGUCGCGUGAAGGAUGACUGUCUUAUGGAUUGUAAACUUCUUUUAUACGGGAAUAACAAGAGUCACGUGUGGCUCCCUGCAUGUACCGUAUGAAUAAGCAUCGGCUAACUCCGUGCCAGCAGCCGCGGUAAUACGGAGGAUGCGAGCGUUAUCCGGAUUUAUUGGGUUUAAAGGGUGCGUAGGCGGCCUGUUAAGUCAGCGGUGAAAUCUAGGAGCUUAACUCCUAAAUUGCCAUUGAUACUGGCGGGCUUGAGUGUAGAUGAGGUAGGCGGAAUGCGUGGUGUAGCGGUGGAAUGCAUAGAUAUCACGCAGAACUCCGAUUGCGAAGGCAGCUUACUAAGGUACAACUGACGCUGAAGCACGAAAGCGUGGGUAUCAAACAGGAUUAGAUACCCCAGUAGUC